rnacentral:rRNA from 1 species
UACGUAGGGGGGCUAGCGUUGUCCGGAUUUAUUGGGCGUAAAGAGCGUGUAGGCGGCCAAGUAGGUCUGGUGUGAAAACUCGAGGCUUAACCUCGAGAUGUCAUCGGAAACCAUUUGGCUAGAGUCCGGAAGAGGAAAGUGGAAUUCCUGGUUUAGCGGUGAAAUGCGCAGAUAUCAGGAAGAACACCAAUGGCGAAAGCAGCUUUCUGGGACGGUACUGACGCUGAGACGCGAAAGCGUGGGGAGCGAACAGG